UGCUGAGGGGAAAAUCGUGUUUUGUUGAUCUCCUGAUCAGAAAAGCAAUCCAUAUGGUGGUUAAAGGUUUGUCCAAGAUGAGGAUUCUCAAAUAUUACAUUCUAAGCACCUGCUUGAAAUAAUGAGUAAGUUACUGUUUUAAUAAAACACCUUAAAUUUUCUAUUCCUUGAUCAAAAAAAGAAUUAAAUUGCUACAUAAUUG